AAGAGGGACUGAAAUAAAUCUGGGACAAAUAUUCAGAUUUAUCUUUGUGUUUGCAGUGAGGACUCAGAAGACAAAGAUGUGAAGACCAAGAAAGAUGAUUCACACUCAGCAGAUGAGGAUUUUGGCAGUGAGGAUGAUGAUGUAGGAGCCGAUGAUGGCAAAGCCGACAGCGACUACGAGAGCUCCCAAAAAAGCAAAAA